GACAGAGGGUGCAAACGUUGCUCGGAAUUACUGGGCGUAAAGCGCGUGUAGGCUGACCGGAAAGUCGGGCGUGAAAGCCCUGGGCUCAACCCAGGAACUGCACUCGAAACUCCCGGUCUAGAGUGGUGGAGAGGGGAAGUGGAAUUCCUGGUGUAGAGGUGAAAUUCGUAGAUAUCAGGAGGAACACCAGUGGCGAAGGCGGCU
rnacentral:rRNA from 1 species